GAUGAACGCUAGCGGCAGGCUUAAUACAUGCAAGUCGAGGGGCAGCGCAGUGUAGCAAUACAUGGGCGGCGACCGGCAAACGGGUGCGGAACACGUACGCAAUCUACCCAAAACUGAUGAAUAGCCCUCCGAAAGGAGGAUUAAUACAUCGUAACCUAUUGAAGUGGCAUCACUUUAUUAGUAUAGCUCCGGCGGUUUUGGAUGAGCGUGCGGCUGAUUAGGUAGUUGGCAGGGUAACGGCCUACCAAGCCUACGAUCAGUAACUGGUGUGCGAGAACGACCAGUCACACGGGGACUGAGACACGGGCCCGACGCCUACGGGAGGCAGCAGUAAGGAAUAUUGGUCAAUGGACGCAAGUCUGGACCAGCCAUGCCGCGUGAAGGAUGAAGGUCCUCUGGAUUGUAAACUUCUUUUAUAGGGGAAGAAACCGGAAUUUUCUUGUUCCGUUGACGGUACCCUGGGAAUAAGCACCGGCUAACUCCGUGCCAGCCGCCGCAGUAAAAC
rnacentral:rRNA from 1 species